GUGCCAGCAGCCGCGGUAACACGUAGGGGGCGAGCGUUGUUCGGAAUUACUGGGCGUAAAGGGCAUGUAGGCGGUCUGGUAAGCCUGGCGUGAAAGACUGCAGCUUAACUGCAGGGAUGCGCUGGGAACUGCUGGGCUUGAGUGACGGAGAGGGAGCUGGAAUUCCUGGUGUAGGGGUGAAAUCUGUAGAUAUCAGAAAGAACACCGAUGGCGAAGGCAAGCUCCUGGCCGAUGACUGACGCUGAGGUGCGAAAGUGUGGGGAUCAAACAGGAUUAGAUACCCUGGUAGUCCACACAGUCAACGAUGUGCACUAGGUGCUGGGGCGGUAGCCUCGGUGCCGGAGCGAACGUGGUAAGUGCACCGCCUGGGGAGUAUGCUCGCAAGGGUGAA
rnacentral:rRNA from 1 species